rnacentral:rRNA from 1 species
UCCAGACUCCUACGGGAGGCAGCAGUGGGGAAUAUUGCACAAUGGGGGAAACCCUGAUGCAGCAACGCCGCGUGAGUGAAGAAGUCAUUCGUGGUGUAAAGCUCUAUCAGCAGGGAAGAAAAUGACGGUGCCUGACUAAGAAGCCCCGGCUAACUUCGUGCCAGCAGCCGCGGUAAUACGAAGGGGGCAAGCGUUGUUCGGAAUUACUGGGCGUAAAGGGAGUGUAGGCGGUUUAGUAAGAUAGUGGUGAAAUCCCAGAGCUUAACUUUGGAAUUGCCAUUAUAACUAUUAGACUAGAAUUACAGAGAGGAUAGUGGAAUACCCAGUGUAGAGGUGAAAUUCGUGGAUAUUGGGUAGAACACCAGUGGCGAAGGCGACUAUCUGGCUGUACAUUGACGCUGAGGCUCGAAAGCAUGGGGAUCAAACAGGAUUAGAUACCCGUGUAC